UACAGAGGGUGCGAGCGUUAAUCGGAAUUACUGGGCGUAAAGGGUGCGUAGGUGGUUAGAUAAGUUAGGUGUGAAAGUCCCGGGCUUAACCUGGGGAUUGCGCCUGAUACUGUUUAACUAGAGUACUGUAGAGGAAAGUGGAAUUUCCGGUGUAGCGGUGAAAUGCGUAGAUAUCGGGAAGAACACCCGUGGCGAAGGCGGCUCUCUGGGACGGUACUGACGCUGAGACGCGAAAGCGUGGGGAGCGAACAGG
rnacentral:rRNA from 1 species